rnacentral:misc_RNA from 1 species
GGAAAAGUCUAUAAGGUACCCAGUUUAUUCUGUGUUAUGACUAUGAUCAGUGUGUUACACCAAAAAAACCACAUGUGUACUGAUUUAUUGCAAAGUGCAAUCUUUGUCAUCGUAUAACAGUCAACGACUGAGGGUAAUGAGCUGUCAUUAUGAUUAUGAUUAUGACUAGUUAUAUGUACUUGUAUUGAUUCAGACCUCUCUUCUCCUUAGUAGGUUAGAUAGAUGAGAUGGAUGUACACCUAUUAACUUCAUAAGUAUAUAAAAUGUCAAUAUAGCAUGCUAUUUAUUGAUUGACAAACUGGAUCUAAUAAUCUCAGCCUAGAUUGCAGCACAAGUAUGGAAGAAAUUAUCUGGUUAAUAUAAACCGCUGAACAGAAAUAGCUGUUCAUUUUAUGUCUAUUUAUGUUGGUUUGCAAAAAGAAUUCUAUAUUGAUCAAUUUGAAGAGAAGUAUUUCUGGAGGAGAAUUAUGUUGUACAUAUUUAUUCAUGUUGAUUGCAAAUAAAAUUGUGAGUUCAGCAACAUAG